rnacentral:rRNA from 1 species
AGAGUUUGAUCCUGGCUCAGGACGAACGCUGGCGGCGUGCUUAACACAUGCAAGUCGAGCGGAAAGACCCUUCGGGGUACUCGAGCGGCGAACGGGUGAGUAACACGUGAGCAAUCUGCCCCUAGCUUCGGGAUAGCUCCGGGAAACCGGAAUUAAUACCGGAUAUGACUAUGGUCGACAUCGGCCACGGUGGAAAGUUU